AUGAUUUUGCUUACAUAUACUAUGUACUGUGCCAGUCAAGUGACUCAAGUGCAUAGGUGUAAAAGAUUGCAUAAAAAUGUGGGGGAGAUUUCAAGGAGGCAGGGGUUGCGAAAGUUUGCAAGACAUUGAUAGAGAGGAGACCCAAGCUCAGAACCGUUAUUAGUGGGUUCGUAAGCCAAGCUCAGAACACGUCCGUUCCACGUGUCGCCCACUUGGCUUAAGAUUUAGAGAUGCUUCCGGAAAGGCGCAGCUAGCCAUGCGGCUAGCUGCAUGAACCCCAGAUCGGUCGUUCACAUGCGUGCCUUUGGUUAUUGCAACCGAAAGUGAGCUCACACACACUUAACUGCAUGAACAGCGACGCCGGAGCGGCAGAAAUGUUUCCUUGAAAUGAAAUGAGUAAAAUGCAGGAGUUACCUGUGAGUGUUGUUAAGGGCACAGGUCAAGAAAACAAGAUGCGCCCAUGUAGCAUACGGAAGUGAUGAGCCCUGCAUAUAAUUGAAAUGAUAGUGUAUUAAUUACAAGUACUUUAGUUAACAUUGUCUCUUCGUAGUGUAAACUUCACAGAAUGUUCGGUUUUAAUAAUGCACGUCUGCACAUGUGCAAGUUAAAUCCGCACAUUCGUAAGAUGGUAUAAAGUUCCUAUCUAGAAUCUUUGAAUUAGCUGCUAAUUAAAUUGGACAUAAUCCAGUUUGCAUUACAUUGAACAUUACACACGCGAUCUUUUGGACAACUAGAAAGCAAUAUAUAUUUCUAUAGAUAAUGCAACAGAAAAUAUAGAUGAUGGUCCAUAUAAACUGAAGUAUUUCAUUUUAACUAAUAAAUUCAAGAGGCAGGAAUUCAAUUCUCGAUGAAUGAACUAGAAACAAAAUUCCUAUUUUCUUCGUUCCAGAAUAAUUUUAUACUUUUACUCCAUCCAUGUCAUAUUGUAAGACUUGUUAGCCUUGUCUAGAUGCAUCAAUUGAUAAAUAUAUAUAGUUUAUAUAUGUUUCAAUGCAUUAGUAUCACAAGGUUAGAAAAAUUUAUAUUACGAAACAAAUUAGUUAACUUGAACCAGAAAGAUAUGACAGAGGGAGUUCAUCCCAAAGGAAGAAUGGUGCCUAAUUAAGCGCCUCAUUCUCGUUCCUGUUUCAAGGCACAUAGACCAAAGCAACAUUGCUGCUACAGUAUAAACAUGGGUUAUGGCAAUUACUGGGGAGGGAAUUUCAUGUCUAUUCCACCGACAAGUUUUUCAGUGGAUGAACAUGAUCAAGAAAAUAACAUGGUACAAAUGAUCAUGGAGAUGAACAAAUGCAGCAAGAAGGCUGAAGCGUACCUGUGUAUGUUUCCCUUGCAUGCACGUGACUUAGGAGGGGCCCGUUUCUCCAUCUUUUCAUUUCAUUUGCACCUAAACCCCUCAAGGAGCAAACAUGGCCAGCUCUGGUGCCUGUUAUUUAAACCCCCUCUUUCGCUCCUCACAAAGUCACAAGCCACACA
rnacentral:lncRNA from 1 species